UACGAAGGGGGCGAGCGUUGUUCGGAAUCACUGGGCGUAAAGGGCGCGUAGGCGGCCCUCUUAGUCGCGUGUGAAAGCCCCGGGCUCAACCUGGGAAUGGCAUUGGAAACUGGCUUGCUGGAGUGUGGCAGAGGGGGGUGGAAUUCCGCGUGUAGCAGUGAAAUGCGUAGAGAUGCGGAGGAACACCGAUGGCGAAGGCAGCCCCCUGGGCCAACCACGUGACGCCUCAGGCACGAAAGCG
rnacentral:rRNA from 1 species